AGAGUCAGUCCCCCGGGACGGGCGGCCCGGAGCGGUGUCACCGCCGAGGCAGCGCUGACACGGCUGUGCUGAUCUCACUGUGAGUUUGCCCUUGCCGAGAAUGUCGGACGAGACGUCAGGUCUGUUGCUGCUGUCCACUCUAGGCUGUAUGAAAAACUAUAGCCAGGUCACACUGACUGGUUGUUCAAAGGCCUUGCGGGAAAACGUGCUGUAAGGAGGAUUGUCCAAUUAGCAUCAGAGCCAGGAGAAGAAAAAAGGUCCUCACAGCGAGAGCACUGUCAGGCACAAAGCUGCUCGGGGGGUCACCAGCCCAAGUACAGGAUGAUUUAGAAAGCAUAUUAGUGUUGCUGGCUAGUGCAAACGUCAUAAGAUGCUCAGCUGACUCUCUCCCUCUUCCACCAGUCUUGGAGCUGCAUGGCUUUCUCCAACCCAUGUGAUACCACUCAAUUGAAUGUCUUUGAGGUAGAGAAGAUUUCCUUGGAAGUUCUGCAGAGUCCUGGCAAUCUGUGUCCAGUAAUGUUGUCCCCAUCUCUCAACGAACCGGAUUGGUGCUUCAAGAACAUGGGAUCUCCCCUCAGAACUCCAAAGAAAUUAAUGUGAAUUUUACUUUGUCUCAUUCAAACGCCUUUUACAGUUCACACUUUCAACAAGAUUUCAUGCAAGGAAAAAG